CCUGUACCCGGGCAGCUGAAAACGCGACUUCCUGUCGCAUCAGCUGCAUGACCUGCAUCCUGCAGA
rfam:Planococcus rifietoensis strain M8, complete genome.